rnacentral:rRNA from 1 species
AACGAACGCUGGCGGCAGGCUUAACACAUGCAAGUCGAACGCACCCUUCGGGGUGAGUGGCAGACGGGUGAGUAACGCGUGGGAAUCUACCUAGUUCUACGGAACAACAGAGGGAAACUUCUGCUAAUACCGUAUACGCCCUAUGGGGGAAAGAUUUAUCGGAAUUAGAUGAGCCCGCGUAAGAUUAGCUAGUUGGUGAGGUAAUGGCUCACCAAGGCGACGAUCUUUAGCUGGUCUGAGAGGAUGAUCAGCCACACUGGGACUGAGACACGGCCCAGACUCCUACGGGAGGCAGCAGUGGGGAAUAUUGGACAAUGGGCGCAAGCCUGAUCCAGCCAUGCCGCGUGAGUGAUGAAGGCCUUAGGGUUGUAAAGCUCUUUCAGUGGGGAAGAUAAUGACGGUACCCACAGAAGAAGCCCCGGCUAACUUCGUGCCAGCCGCCGCCGUAACAC